UACGAAGGGGGCGAGCGUUUGUUCGGAUUUACUGGGCGUAAAGGGCGCGCAGGCGGCUUAUUUUGUCAGGCGUGAAAGCCCCGGGCUUAACCUGGGAACUGCGUUUGAUACGGAUGGGCUAGAGUUCGGGAGAGGAGAGUGGAAUUCCCAGUGUAGAGGUGAAAUUCGUAGAUAUUGGGAAGAACACCGGUGGCGAAGGCGGCUCUCUGGACCGAUACUGACGCUGAGGCGCGAAAGCGUGGGGAGCAAACAGG
rnacentral:rRNA from 1 species